CGGGAAACUGAGAAUAAUCCGCGAUAGAUCAUAAUUCCUGGAAUGGUUUAUGGUCCAAAUGAUUCGUCGCCAUAGGAUGGGACUGCGGCCUAUCAGCUUGUUGGUGAGGUAGUGGCUCACCAAGGCUAUUACAGGUACGGGCUCUGAGAGGAGAAGCCCGGAGAUGGGUACUGAGACACGGACCCAGGCCCUAUGGGGCGCAGCAGGCGAGAAACCUUCGCAAUGUGCGCAAGCACGACAAGGUUAAUCCGAGUGUUUCCUGCUAAAGGAAUCUUUUGUUAGUUCUAAAACCACUGAUGAAUAAGAGGUGGGCAAGUUCUGGUGUCAGCCGCCGCGGUAAAACCAGCACCUCAAGUGGUCAGGAUGAUUAUUGGGCCUAAAGCAUCCGUAGCUCGUUUUGUAAGUUUUCGGUUAAAUCCAUGCGCUUAACGUAUGGGCUGCCGGGAAUACUGCAUAACUAGGAAGUGGGAGAGGUAGACGGUACUCGGUAGGAAGGGGUAAAAUCCUUUGAUCUAUUGAUGACCACCUGUGGCGAAGGCGGUCUACCAGAACACGUUCGACGGUGAGGGAUGAAAGCUGGGGGAGCAAACCGGAUUAGAUACCCGGGUAGUCCCAGCUGUAAACUAUGCAAACUCAGUGAUGCAUUGGC
rnacentral:rRNA from 1 species